GCUAGUUGGUAAGGUAAUGGCUUACCAAGGCGAUGACGGGUAGGGGACCUGAGAGGGUGGCCCCCCACAAUGGAACUGAAACACGGUCCAUACACCUACGGGUGGCAGCAGUAGGGAAUAUUAGUAAUGGGCGAAAGCCUGAACUAGCAACGCCGCGUGUGCGAAGAAGGCCUUCGGGUCGUAAAGCACUUUUUGAGAGGAUGAGGAAGGACGGUACUCUCAGAAUAAGUCUCGGCUAACUACGUGCCAGCAGCCGCGGUAACACGUAGGAGGCAAACGUUAUCCGGAUUUACUGGGCGUAAAGCGCGUGUAGGUGGUUUGGUAAGUAGGGCGUGAAAGCUCCUGGCUCAACUGGGAGAGGACGUUCUAAACUGCCAAGCUUGAGGAUGGUAGAGGGAGGUGGAAUUCCGGGUGUAGCGGUGGAAUGCGCAGAUAUCCGGAGGAACACCAGUGGCGAAGGCGGCCUCCUGGACCACUCCUGACACUCAGACGCGAAAGCUAGGGUAGCAAACGGGAUUAGAGACCCCGGUAGUCCUAGCCCUAAACGAUGUAGACUUGGCGUCGGUGGUCUAAUCGCCAUCGGUGUCGUAGCUAACGCGAUA
rnacentral:rRNA from 1 species